rnacentral:rRNA from 1 species
CCUACGGGUGGCAGCAGUGAGGAAUAUUGGUCAAUGGGCGGAAGCCUGAACCAGCCAAGUAGCGUGCAGGAUGACGGCCCUACGGGUUGUAACCUGCUUUUAUACGGGAAUAACGCGCCUUACGUGUAGGGCUUUGCAUGUACCGUAUGAAUAAGGACCGGCUAAUUACGUUCCAGCAGCCGCGGUAAUACGGAAGGUCCGGGCGUUAUCCGGCUUUAUUGGGUUUAACGGGAGAGUAGGCCGCAUGUCAAGCGUGCUGUGAAAUGUUCGGGCUCAACCCGGGCCUUGCAGCGCGAACUGGCGUGCUUGAGUCCGCGUAAAGCAGGCGGAAUGCGUCGUGUAGCGGGGAAAUGCUUAGAUAUGACGAAGAACCCCGAUUGCGAAGGCAGCUUGCUGCAGCGGAACUGACGCUGAUGCUCGAAAGCGCGUGUAUCGAACAGGAUUAGAUACCCUUGUAGUC